rnacentral:lncRNA from 1 species
AGAUAUUGAGCAUCACGAGCUCCUAAGCAAGGGGAAUGAUUAUGUUCUGUCCGAGUACAUGCUGGCGUGGGUGAUUGGACUACAGUUGAGGUGCGGAAAGUCGUGGACGGAUUGUACACAUAUGUACAUUCCAGUGAUCGCGAACUCACAAUAGGGGUGUUGCGACGGGAUUUUACGACAGAGAUCGUCGCAGUAUGAGAGGAGAUAGGGGUGUUGCGACAAGAUUUUACGACAGAUGUAGUAGCUUUGCGAGAUGAGAUUGGAGUGUUGCGACGAGAUAUAGGAGACCUUCAUACUGAGGUUGCAGCACUUCGAGGCGAUGUAGCAGGCGUCCGAGGGAAUGUCGGGGAGACUGGUGUCCCUCGAGAUUGGUGGGCAACGACCGGGGGAAUCGAUGAGUUUUUUGGUUCGGUCCCGGAGGCCGAGAGGGAGGGGGUGGAGGUCGGGCAGGAGGAGCCGGAGGAGGCCGGGAUGCCCGGGGUGGAGGUCGGGCCGGAGGUGCCGGAGGAGGCAGAGAUAGAGGAGGGGGAGGGAGGGACAGGGGUGGUCGAGGAGGUAGCGGAGGGGACAUCAGAGGUGGUAGUAGAGGGGGAUGAUCAGGUUGCGAAGGACGAGAGGACGCCAGAGAUGACGGAUGACGAGGUAGUAUUCGUGUCCGAGGGGGCGACGGAGGUCCCGAAGGGUAAGAAGCGUGCUCGUUCGUGUCAUAGAUAUUGAGCAUCACGAGCUCCUAAGCAAGGGGAAUGAUUAUGUUCUGUCCGAGUACAUGCUGGCGUGGGUGAUUGGACUACAGUUGAGGUGCGGAAAGUCGUGGACGGAUUGUACACAUAUGUACAUUCCAGUGAUCGCGAACUCACACUGUUUUUCGGUGGAGAUCGUAUUUGCUGAUUCCACCAUAUAUGUGUACGACUCUGAUCAUAGCUGUCUGACACAAAGUCAACUGGAGCAAAUACUGGAGCCAUUGGCUGUGAUCGUGCCCAUGAUGGCUAGUCAUGCGAUGAUU